ensembl:lncRNA
CCCAAACGGGUUUCAACAAACUCACCUACAACUGCAACUCUGCUUACAACUAGAGCCCCUCCUACAGAAACAACACAACUUACAUCUACGGGUAAACCAACAACAACAACUGUUUUAAGAUCUACAACUGAACCAACAACUACAACUGUUUUAACAUCUACAACUGAACAAUCAACAACACCUGAACAAAGCACCACAAUGCAGACAACAACAACAUCCUUACCUACAAAAAAUACACCUCAAUCUACAACCGUGGUUACAGCAAACUCACUUACAAGUACAUCUCAGUUUACAACCACAGCCCCUCCUACAGAAACAACAACACAACUUACAUCUAUGGCUGAACCAACAACGACAACUGUUUUAACAUCUACAACAGAACAAUCAACUACAUCUGAACAAAGCACCACAAUGCAGUCAACAACAACAUCCCUACCUACAACAAGUACAGCUCAAUCCACAACUGAGGUUACAACAAACUCACCUACAACUGCAACUCUGUUUACAACUACAGCCCCUCCUACAGAAACAACAACCACACAACUUACAUCUACAGCUGAACCAACAACCACAACUGCGUCAACAUCUACAACUGAAAAAUCAACUAUACCCGAACAAAGCACCACAACACAGACAGCAACAACAUCCCUACAUACAACAAGUACAGCUCAAUCUACAACCCUGAUUUCAACAAACUCAGCUACACCUACAUCUCGGGUUACAAUUACAGCCCCUCCUACAGAAACAACAACAACACAACUUACAUCUACAGCUGAACCAACAACCAUAACUGUUUUAACAUCUACGGCUGAACCAACAACCACAACUGUUUUAACAUCUACAACAAAACAAUCAAUUACAUCCCAACACAGCACCACAACACAGACAGCAACAACAUACCUACCUACAACAAGUACAGCUCAAUCUACAACCCUGGUUACAACAAACAUGACUGUUACAUCAAGCUCAGCUACACAAACGACACAAUUCUGCUUAAAAGUGACACAACAGCUGAUACAAUACUGCUCAGCAACAACUGAAACUCUGUCUACAACCACUGCCAAACCUACACAAAAACCUGACUCAACAAACUCACCUGCAUCUGCAACAACAGAAUCUAUGACUGUUACAGUAAACUCAGUCCCUUCCACAGAAACAACAACAACAACAACACAACUUACAUCUACGGCUGAACCAACAACUACAACCAGAGCUCAAUCAACAACAACCCCAGGCACAACCCAGACAGUUUUUGUUAGUUUUUCCAGCAGUGAAAUUUUUGUCUCUGAUCUGUCAAAUCCAGCUUCAGAAGCAUAUAAAAACAGAGAAAAGAAUGUCAACGAUACGUUGACACCAUUCUUUAGAAAUGCAUUGCCCUCCUUCAAAGGACUGGCAGUUAUUCAGUUCCGUAAUGGGUCAAUCAUCACUGAUAUGAAUGUGACAUUUGGAACCUUACCCAGUGAUGUUGAGAUAGAAAACACUAUUAUGAAAGCUAAUGCCACUCUCAGUAUCACCAGUGUAACAAUAUGGAAGCCCUUCACCACAACUACCAAAGCCACUACAACCAGUUCCACUACAAUUACAACUACAACCACACCUAACACAACAACAGCAGCAGCAACAACAACAACCACAACAUCUACUGCCAAUCCUAAUACAACAGCAUCACCAGCAACCACAACAUCUACUGUCAAUCCUAAUACAACAGCAUCACUAGCAACCACAACAUCUACUGCCAAUCCUAUUACAACACAACAACAACAACCACCACCACAACAUCUAAUGUCAAUCCGAAUACAACAGCAUCAACAGCAACCACAACAUCUACUGUCAAUCCUAAUACAACAGCAUCAACAGCAACCACAACAUCUACUGUCAAUCCUAUUACAAUAGCAACAACAACCACAACAUCUACUGUCAAUCCUAAUACAACAGCAUCAACAGCAACCACAACAUCUACUGCCAAUCCUAUUACAACAACAGCAACAGCAACAACAACAACCACAACCACAACAUCUACUGUCAAUCCUAAUACAACAGCAUCACCAACAACCACAACAUCUACUGCCAAUCCUAAUACAACAGCAUCAACAACAACCACAACAUCUAUUGUCAAUCCUAUUACAACAGCAACAACAACAACCACAGCAUCUACUGCCAAUCCUAAUACAACAGUAUCAUCAACAACAGCAACCACAACAUCUACUGCCAAGCCUAAUACAACAGCAUCAACAGCAACCACAACAUCUACUGUCAAUCCUAAUACAACAGCACCAACAGCAACCACAACAACAACCACAACAUCUACUGCCAAACCUAAUACAACUGUAACAACAACACCCACAACCACAACAACAACAACAACAACAACAAAAACAACAACAACAACAACAACAUCUACUGCCAAUCCUAAAACAACAGCAACAACAACCACAAUAACAACAGCAGCAACCACAACAGCAGCACCAGCACGUCCUCAGCCAACUGUUGCCAUACAGAUUGUCAUUAUAGAGGUGUUUGUUCCAGCACUGAAAGACCCUCAAACUCCGGAAUUUAAAAGCCUAGCCACAAAAGUAGAGACUAUGUUUGAUGAAGUCUAUAAGAAAAAGUUUGGACCUCGUUUCAUCAGGACCAUCGUGAUUGCUUUCAUAGCUGUUGCCAGGACCCGGGCAGACUCAAACGUACAGGCGGAGGUUAAGUUAGUGUUUAGUGAAGUGUCCACUGAACCAAUCCCCAGCAACACCGACAUUGUGGAGACUCUAAAAGAAGCAGCUGCUAAUUCAACUGGAGGCUUCAACCUCACCCUUGAUGCCACCUCUAUUACUGUCAUUAAAUCAGUGCAGAUAAUUCCGCUGACCAUCCUCACCAAUGGAACCUUUGUGGCUGCUCUUUCAAAUAAAAGUUCUACUGAAUUUCAGAACAGGGCUUCGAUGAUAAAAACAGGGCUCGAACCUUUUUUCCUGACUGAUUACCCUGCAUCAUUCAGCACCAUAUCCGUAACAAACUUCAGUGAUGCCAGUGUAAAAUUAAAGAGUGUGCCCAAGAUCCAAAACAGCAUGGAUGUAGUAUUUGGAGCGGACGCUGCUCUACCCAAUAGCACCCAGAUAGUGAACACUGUAGUUCGAGCAGCCAGAAACAACACAUUACCCUUCCAGAUCUUCACUUCUUCAAUUAUAAUAAAUGGAACAGAAUAUUCAUCAGGUGAAGUCAGCAGCAGGAUCAGUGUGUUGACCACUUCGUUCCUGGUUAUGGUGUCACUUCUGGUUCCAUGGUUUAACUGACCUUAACCACUCAUGACAAGAUAACUGAUUCAGCCACUCUGAAUCUUGCCUUUUAUGUCUGUUCAAAUGAAGGACUCAACUUAAGGAUGAAUGUAGCUAGUGAUGCUAUUUAAUGAGUAGGAAUGAAAGUAAAAAUGUAAAUAAUCCUAUUCUCAGCACUUUAAACUAGAUCAAAGCAAUAAUGGAUUCCAAAUCAGUUCUGGAUCUGUAUGUAAACAAUCAGUAUUGUAUAAAGCACUAUAUAAAUAAAGGCAAAUAUAAAUGUAUAUAAAUGUACCUGCAUGUUUUCAUAGAUUUACUUCAGAACCCAUCAUUGUGCACCAUAGACAGAAAAAUAACUACUGUGCAUAUUUAAAAUAAACCCUAUUGACACUCAGACUUCCAGUUUUGCCACCUCCGAAAUGACCAUGUUGUGAAGCAGGUAUUUGAUGGCAGACUCAA